UCAUUUUGGCAGUGUAUAUACUAAAAUUGGAAUGAUACAGAGAAGAUUAGUAUGGCCCCUGCACAAGUAUGACAUGCAAAUUCGUGAAGCAUUCCAUAUUUUU